rnacentral:pre_miRNA from 1 species
ACUCCGAUCCGGGACCAUCGGUCUACCGAGCAAAAUCAUCCGCUUGGUGGAAGAUAUUCCCCUCGUCAU